rnacentral:lncRNA from 1 species
CCACUCUCCUUUACGUAACUGGUUCGUGUAAAAGAGAAAUAAGAAACUCAAAGCUUUAAUAACUCUCUCGAUAUUCGAUAACGUGUAAUCCAAGUAGGAAUCACAGUACAAGAACGUUGAUGCUAAAGGUAUUACGAUCUCAUGGCGAUCGUUCUCAGAGGACUCAUGACGUCACUCUUCAAUACAUACAAAAAGCAUGAAGAAAAAGUAAAACAACUACUCGACUUUAUUCUUUAUUCCUCGUAGCAAAGCCUCUAUCUCACACCAAGUCUUUGCUCACUCGUCCUUCCCUCUUACUCCACCAGAAGGUUACUUUCUUCUUUCUUCUCUAACUCCCCGUCUUCAACUCCCUUCGACUCUGUCUCAGACAACACCUGCUCCAACUGGUUCACUCCCUUGCGACGUUUACGGAAAUAGACCUGCUGGUACGUAUCAAUACCCCACCCCACGAGACGCAGCUUGUCCUCAAGCUGAAAUUCCGGAAACUGACGAGACAAUUCCCAACCCGACACCCAAGUAUUCUCAUGAGCUGGCAGACCCAUCCAUUGAACUAAAACCUCGAGACGCCCAUCCUCUGUGUAUCGAGUAUCCAACACUGCUUCCGGUAGGACUACAAACUCUCCGGUAGACGAAAAUUUCGUCGGCAGUGGUGUGACCGGUAUAGACUGGCCGAUCGCAGCCUUCAGCUGAGAGAUGUGAAAAACCGGAUGUAUGCGAGACGAAGGUGGAAGUUGUAGACGGUAAGCCACCUUCCCCACUCGUUCCACAACCUCAAACGGACCAUAGAACUUCGCGGCUAGCUUCUGACAAAUGCGACGUGUGACAGAAGACUGGCGAUACGGUCGUAACUUCAAGAAAACCCACGUGCCUACAUCAAACUCCACAUCUCGAUGAUGCUGAUCAGCCUUUCUCUUCAUGUUCUGCUGCGCUUUCAACAACAACUCCUUCAAAUGUGCUAACAUUUCAUCCCGUUCACGCAACAUACUCUCCAAAUCAAAGUUUCCCGUUGAACCUUCCUCGAAAGGAAUCAACGUAGGUGGGUCUCUGCCAUAGACCACGCGAAAAGGCGUUGUCUGUAACGAGGAGUGAAAGCAAGUAUUGUACCAGUAUUCCGCCCAUGAAAGGUACUUAAACCAAGUCUUGGGGUGGCCCGACGCGAAGCAACGCAAGUAGGUUUCCACGCAACGGUUGAGGACCUCUGUCUGACCGUCCGUCUGCGGGUGAAAUGCGGUGCUGAACUUCAGCUUGGUCCCUGACAGGCGAAAGCAUUCCUUCCAAAAGGCACUGAGAAAAAUUCGAUCCCGAUCCGAAAUGAUAGACGCCGGGAAGCGGUGUAAACGAACAAUCUCAGAAACAAACUUUGACGCUACAUCAACUGCUGUGAACGGGUGGUGUAAACCUAUGAAAUGGCCAUACUUGCUCAAACGAUCCACCACCACUAAAAUCACAUUCACCCCGGUCGACGACGGCAAGCCCUCCACGAAAUCAAGACUGAUAUCACUCCAAAUCUGUGUCGGAAUGGGUAAUGGCUGGAGCAAUCCUGCCGGUGAGAGUGUGGAAUACUUAUGCGUCUGACACACGGUACAUUGAGCCACAUACUGUUGCACAGUACGUCGCAUAUCAGCCCAGUAGAACGCCUGCUGAAUGCGUUUGAGCGUCUUAAGCACACCAGAAUGACCCCCGAUACGACUAUCAUGGUAUUCUGAUAAGAGCAGCGGAAUGAACUUGGAUGUACGAGGGAUCAGCAAGCGAGUUUUGUAACGCACAUAGCCCCCAAUCAAAGAAAAUCCUUUCCCUACUGGUGCGCCAGCCAACAAUUGUUUCUUAAUGGCUUCAAUGCCUUCAUCUUGCGCAAUUUCAGCAUAAAUGUCUUGCAAGUGAAGGGAUUGAGGGAUCACCAGUGAUAACAACGUUGCACACAUGCCUCCUUCCGGUCUGGCCAUCUGUCUCGACAGUCCAUCUGCGGCCUUGUUCUCAAUCCCCGGUUUAUAGAUGAUGUCAAACUGAAAACCAAGCAGACGAAUCAACCAUUUCUGAUAUUCCAUCGAGACCUCACGCUGUUCCAGGAGAAACUUCAGACUCUUUUGAUCCGUGUGAACCACAAAGUGAUGACCAGUAAGGUAAUGCUUCCAUUUUAAGAUAGCAAACACAAUAGCCAUGAGUUCUCGCUCAUAGAUCGGCUUCAGCUGUUCACGAGGAGUUAACGUGUGGCUAUAAUAUGCAAUGGGACGUUUAUUCUGCAUCAGCACGGCUCCUAAUCCCACACCGGAAGCAUCAGCCUCCACGCUCACCGCACCAAUUUGAUAAGUUUGAACGUGUAAUCUCCCUUAUCGCAAGAUCCCACUCUCCUUUACGUAACUGGUUCGUGUAAAAGAGAAAUAAGAAACUCAAAGCUUUAAUAACUCUCUCGAUAUUCGAUAACGUGUAAUCCAAGUAGGAAUCACAGUACAAGAACGUUGAUGCUAAAGGUAUUACGAUCGUUCUCAGAGGACUCAUGACGUCACUCUUCAAUACAUACAAAAAGCAUGAAGAAAAAGUAAAACAACUACUCGACUUUAUUCUUUAUUCCUCGUAGCAAAGCCUCUGUCUCACACCAAGUCUUUGCUCACUCGUCCUUCCCUCUUACUCCACCAGAAAGUUACUUUCUUCUUUCUUCUCUAACUCCCCGUCUUCAACUCCCUUCGACUCUGUCUCAGACAACACCUGCUCCAACUGGUUCACUCCCUUGCGACGUUUACGGAAAUAGACCUGCUGGUACGUAUCA